UACAGAGGGUGCGAGCGUUAAUCGGAAUUACUGGGCGUAAAGCGUGCGUAGACGGUUAUUUAAGUCAGAUGUGAAAGCCCCGGGCUCAACCUGGGAAUUGCAUUUGAGACUGAAUAGCUAGGGUACGGUAGAGGGAAGCGGAAUUUCCGGUGUAGCGGUGAAAUGCGUAGAUAUCGGGAGGAACACCCGUAGCGAAGGCGGCCGACUGGACCACACCUGACGCUGAGGCGCGAAGGCCAGGGGAGCGAACGGG
rnacentral:rRNA from 1 species